rnacentral:rRNA from 1 species
GAUGAACGCUGGCGGCGUGCCUAAUACAUGCAAGUAGAACGCUGAAGGAAGGAGCUUGCUCUUUCCGGAUGAGUUGCGAACGGGUGAGUAACGCGUAGGUAACCUGCCUGGUAGCGGGGGAUAACUAUUGGAAACGAUAGCUAAUACCGCAUAACAGUAGAUGUUGCAUGAUAUCUACUUAAAAGGUGCAAUUGCACCACUACCAGAUGGACCUGCGUUGUAUUAGCUAGUUGGUGAGGUAACGGCUCACCAAGGCGACGAUACAUAGCCGACCUGAGAGGGUGAUCGGCCAAACUGAGACUGAGACACGGCCCAGACUCCUACGGGAGGCAGCAGUAGGGAAUCUUCGGCAAUGGACGGAAGUCUGACCGAGCAACGCCGCGGGAGUGAAGAAGGUUGUCGGAUCGUAAAGCUCUGUUGUAAGAGAAGAACGAGUGUGAGAGUGGAAAGUUCACACUGUGACGGUAUCUUACCAGAAAGGGACGGCUAACUACGUG